rnacentral:rRNA from 1 species
CUGGUCGAGUGGACAUGCGCCGACAAUACACGGGGCUAAGCAUGGCGCCGAAGCGGCGGACUAAUAGAAUUAGUGGUAGGGGAGCUUCCCCGGGGGGGGGAAGCCGGAGGGCGACCUCCGGUGGACCGCCGGGGAGUGAGAAUGCUGGCACGAGUAGCGAGAGCGGGGCGAGAAACCCCGCCGCCGCAAGCCCAAGGUUUCCUGGGCGAUGCUAAUCAUCCCAGGGUCAGCCGGGAGCUAAGGCGAGGCCGAGAGGCGCAGCCGAUGCGCAGCUGGUUGAGAUUCCAGCGCCGCUCCCGCGCCGCUAUGACCGAAGGGGCGACGGAGAAGGGCAGCCGGGCGGGGUUCUGGACGUCCCCGUGAAAGCGCGUAGGGGGGUGCGCAUGGAAAUCAGCGCACCAUGUGCCCCGAGACGCGAGACGAAGCCUUUCAGGCGAAGCCGGUCAUCCCAUGCUCCCGAGAAAAACCCCUAGGCAGGCGCGGGCGCGCCCGUACCAAGACCGACACAGGUGGGCGGGUAGAACAUACCGAGGCGAUCGGGAGAACCAUGGUCAAGGAACUCGGCACACUGGCCCCGUAACUUAGGGAGAAGGGGCGCCCCCCGGCGUGAAGGAGCUUUGCCUCCGGAGCGCGGGGGGGCCGCAGCGAAACGGCCCAAGCGACUGUUUACCAAAAACACAGGACUCUGCCAAGCCGCGAGGCGAAGUAUAGGGUCUGACGCCUGCCCGGUGCCGGAAGGUUACGCGGAUGCGUUAGCAGCGAUGCGAGGCGCUGAAGCCAAGCCCCGGUAAACGGCGGCCGUAACUAUAACGGUCCUAAGGUAGCGAAAUUCCUUGUCGGGUAAGUUCCGACCUGCACGAACGGCGUAACGACUUGGGCGCUGUCUCGACCAUGGACCCGGCGAAACUGCACUGUUCGUGAAGAUGCGAGCUACCUGCGGAAGGACGGAAAGACCCCGUGAACCUUCACUGCAGCCUGGCAUUGGCCGUUGGUACGGCGUGUAGAGGAUAGGCGGGAGGCUUCGAACCCCGGGCGCCAGCCCGGGGGGAGCCGCCCUUGGAAUACCGCCCUCGCCGUGCCGGCGGCCUAACCCGCGGCCCGAGACCGGGCGCGGGGACCGUGCCAGGCGGGUAGUUUGACUGGGGCGGUCGCCUCCCAAAUCGUAACGGAGGCGCGCAAAGGUCCGCUCAGGACGGUCGGCAACCGUCCCGGGAGCGCAAGAGUGCAAGCGGGCUCGACUGCGAGGCGUACAGGCCGAGCAGGGACGAAAGUCGGCUCUAGUGAUCCGGCGGCU